UACGUAGGGACCAAGCGUUGUUCGGAUUUACUGGGCGUAAAGGGCGCGUAGGCGGCGUGACAAGUCACUUGUGAAAUCUCUGAGCUUAACUCGGAACGGUCAAGUGAUACUGUCGGACUAGAGUACAGAAGGGGCAACUGGAAUUCUCGGUGUAGCGGUGAAAUGCGUAGAUAUCGAGAGGAACACCUGCGGCGAAGGCGGGUUGCUGGGCUGAUACUGACGCUGAGGCGCGAAAGCCAGGGGAGCGAACGGG
rnacentral:rRNA from 1 species